rnacentral:lncRNA from 1 species
AAAUCUGUGCUCUAGUGGGAGUGGCAGACAGGCCAAGGGAAGAACCUCAAUGGUGUCCACCGGGGUCCGUGUCAGCACGCCUGGACCAGGUCAGAUCAAUGGCCCCCACCAAUGCCUCAUUCUCCAGAGAGGUCCCUUCUCUCACUGAGGUGCCCCCAGAGCCCACCAGGAUCCAAACCAGCGAAACCCUGGACUCCUGAAGCGAGGCGCAUGAACUUAACCACUCGGCCACGGCCACGGGGCGGUUCCUGAACUAUCAUGUGUGAAAAGCAUUCCAGGUGAUCUUAUUUAGGAUCAAAGUCUUCGGCAUUUCCCCAAGGUCAAGAAGAAGUCGUUAUCAGAUAAGCUCCGAAGGAUCUCAACAGAUAUUGCAUGACAUCUCUUUCUGCUGGGACCCACAUAAAGCAAAUCCAGGACAUCCCUGCACUUCUCCAAAACAGUCCAACAAUGCCUAGAAGCAAACUUGCAUUUUAGAUUAUAGAAAGCAGGGAGCCUGGAAGGAUAAGCAACAAUAUCCUCUCUCAAUCCCAGAAAGAUGUGCUAAGGUGGCUGUCACAUACCCCGUGCUUCUAACCACAUCUGAAGGAACUUCCCCCUCAUGAACACCAGCCCCUGGCAUGACAGCUAUUUAUUCCUCCCGAAACUGAACUCUCAGGUUUCAGUAACUACACUUUAGACGACCCACCAACAAAUCGGUCCAGUUUCUAAAUUCCCUUUUCCCAUUUUAUUGAUGAAUAUAUUAAAGACAAAUUCACUGGUUUUUAAAAACAACAAUAAAAUGUUGCUCUUACCACAACAAGAAAAACCAGAAUGAUAAAAAAAAAAUCAUAACUUUUCUGGAGAGUUGAGGUAAUGAGGCAACCACAGGAACUGAACUCCAGAGAGCAAGACUCCCUCUGAGAGACAAGGACACGCGGACUGACUCAUCCCUGGCCAUAGAAGUGAGUGAGAAGACAUCAGAAAAAAAUUAACAAAGCCCU